rnacentral:rRNA from 1 species
UACGUAGGGGCCGAGCGUUGUCCGGAGUUAUUGGGCGUAAAGCGCGCGCAGGCGGCCUCGCGCGCCCGACGUGAAAGCCCCCGGCUUAACCGGGGAGAGUCGUUGGGGACGGCGGGACUUGAGGGCGGGAGAGGGUGGUGGAAUUCCCGGUGUAGUGGUGAAAUGCGUAGAGAUCGGGAGGAACACCCGUGGCGAAGGCGGCCACCUGGGCCGACCCUGACGCUGAGGCGCGGAGGCGUGGGGAGCGAACGGG